UGUAAUAUAUAUGAGUAGUUGUAAAUUUUAUAGUUACAACAUUAGUCAUCAUGUGUCCUUAAUGUGUCUUUAAAGUAAAUUUUAUAGUUACAACAUUAGUUAUCAUGUGUACUUAAAGUGAUAAAUUGCGUGCUUAAAGUCGUAAUUGAAUCCUUAAAGUGAUUAAAAAAAGUUUUUAUAUCUUUGAGGAUUUGUAUUACAACUUUGAGGACUCAAUUACCAUUUUAAGGACACAUGAGGAUUAAUGUUGUAACUAAUUUUUUUUACAACUUUAAAGACUUAUAUUACAACUUUGAGGACUAGUUAAUAUUACUCCCGUAAAGACUCGAUCAUUUUAUAACUUGAGGACAAAGUUGAUGCAUCACAUGCAUUAACACACCAAAGUUGAUUCUCCACAAGCUUGUUGAAGAACUUGGUAGAAGUUUUGAUUUGUUGAAAGGCUUGAAGACGAGGGUUGAUCAAGGGCCGUAGAGGGUUGACGUUGAUCGAGUUUGGGCCACGAGCAGUUCCAUAUGGUGGUUGCUCUUCGUCUUGUAGUUGGUGAAGAUGUCUGCUAUUUAGCAAUUUGGGACUCUUUGGGAUUUGGCAACUUCUAAGCUUGAGAUUGAUGAAGAAUCGGCUAUUUGGCAACUUGAUGAUUCUUCAACGGUUUUGGGAGAAUUCUGAGUUCUCGGGAGUAAUUUUUUUCUCUUGUCCGGAAGUCCUUAUCUUGAUAUGAGAGGGGGUAUUUAUGGUGUCGAUGCUCCUCCGUAAAUAGAAUGCAUUAAAGUCACAACUUUAAUUGUAUUUCCUUAAUGAUAUAAUUAAAUCAAUCACUUUUGAUUGAUUGAUUCAAUUAUUCAAUUUACUAUAAUUAAAUCAAUCAAUCUUAAUUGAUCGAUUUAAUUAUGACCGAUAAGGUAUUUCACCAAUUUGAUUAAAUUCCGACUUCCUUUUCGAUAAUCGAUUUGAUUUGAUUGAUGUUUGAUUAUCGAUUGACAUUUAAUAUUUGAUUUUAGUCGGGAUUGAUGAUUUUGUUGUCGACCGACCAUUAUCAAGCCGCCAUGUGUUAUUUCCGAAGACUUUUCAACUUUGCUGACUCACGAGCCACGUAUGUAAUUUGUCAGGCCCAUGGGUUGUAUGAAUAAUUUAAUAAUUAUUAUUCUCAUUAAAUUUUAUGCGUCUACAAAUACCCCCACUUUAAGGUGUGUUGUAGUCAUGUUGUUGUCACGUGUCAGAGGUGCGACUUGAAGUUAUUUUUGAUGACACUUGUGGCGUGUUUUGCCAUCCACUCGUUUUUACGUCUGAAAUAUUGGUCCGUACCAUGAUGACAUUUUUGUUGCCUUUGAAAUUUGUAUUUUGAACGCUUGAGAAUCAUGCAUUGCGACCUUUCCAUAUGUUUAGAAUACAUGAGCAAUUUGCAUGCUUAGUGGAUAUGAUCUUCAUUUGAACAACUUCCAUACGUGGCUUUAAAUUUACCCGUCUCGCAACUAUUUUCAAUUGGUAGGAUUUGAAUGAGAGAUGAAAGCUUUUCUUUUCUUUUCUUAUCGAUUGAUGCGUGGCUGACAUUUCCUUCAUUGGUAUAAAUAAUUACCACCUUCUAAAUGAGUUUGGUCUUCUACAAGUAAGAAAUCGUGUAAUGGCUUGAUGACUUCUUGACCAAAUAGAAAAGUGAACGCAUGAUGACAUUAUAAAAUUGUACUGUAGGGUUUUGCCCUAAUCACUGUAUUCUCUUCCGUAGCUAGCCGCCCGCCCGUACUUCUUGUAAUUCUUUCUUCCUUCUUCUUUUUCUUUUUCUUUUUAUUUUUUUAUUUUACUGUAGGCCUCAGUCGUGAGUGAAGUUUGGUACGAAAAUAGGUCCAACCUUGUACCGCGAACUUGACAACGAAAUUGUGGAGGCAGGAUCAAUGCGAUGGUGCCAUGCAAUUGCGUUGUCGUAAUCCUCUCUAUUGUUUGAUUAUUGAUUUUACUAUCGCAUGCCUCCAUGCUUACUGACCCAUCCUUAUGCAUAGUGUAGUCGAUAUAUUUUUUUUCAGUUGCGGCUGAAGGGUCAUCUUUUCGGCAAGCACAGUUGAAGAAAACCCACGAGGUACGCACAGUUGAAGAAAACCUUCGAGAGACCAGAGCCUUGAGGUACUACUUUUGUUUUAGUUGAUUUUCUUAAUCCUUUGGCUUGUCCAUAUGCUUUCCGGAAGGAAACAAAGAUUGUCAAGAGUGACAACCCUCGUUUUUCAUGGUGGGUGAGCUUACUCUUUAAUCAACUUUGAUUGUCAUCUCAUUAUGCAAAGCGGCAAUUUUUUUUCUUCGCCAAGUUCGGCAGCAGCAUGGUACUAACUCUUUUUUCUAUUUUUCUUUUCAGAAUUUUGAUGGCAAAUUGAAGAACGCGAACACCUAACCGCUUGGUUUCUUUUACGUCUUGGACGUGAGAUAAACCGUUGAAAGUGUUUAGGCUUUACGUACCCUGACAGUAAUUGAAGAACAAGAACACCUAACCGCUUGAUUUAUUCCACGUUUAAGAUGUGGGAUAAAUUGCUUAAAGUGUUUAGGUUUUGCGUAGACGUAUACUAUUCCGCAUGGUGUUCUCCAAGAGUUUCAAGAAGGACACAAACAUCAUCUUUGAAGAUAUCGAGGAUAUUGAAAGUGAUGGCACCACCUCUCAUCUAAGCUCGCUCAUCUCUAACAACUUCUCGCUCAUCCUUGAUUUAACUAAUAACUUUGAGAUCAUGGGUUCAAACCUCACAGACAUAUGUAAGGUGCGUGAGUUAUUUAAUAAAAGUUUUUUUUUUUUAAAGAGCUCGCUCAUCAUGAUUUCACCUCUGUGAGCUUCGAGAAAUUUUUAAAUGCUACGGGAGGACCAUGUGGCAGUCUAACGUGGUCCUACGAUCCAAUCAAAUUUAGACAUGUGGAUUUUUUACAACUAAAAUAUAAACAAAUAUUUUCUAUUUUUUGUGAAAUGACAUUCAUGGGUAUUUAGCAAGUUCAAAUUAGGGUCUAGGGUAUAGGGUUUAAAGUUUAGGGUUAGAGUUUAGGGUAUAGGGUUUAGGGUUUAGGGUUUAGGGUUUGGGGUUUAGGGUUUAGGGCUUAGGGUUUAGUAUUAAAAAAACAACAAAAAAUCUAAAAUGGUCUUUGACAAAAUAGCUGAAAUAAUUUUUCGUAAAGAAAAUCUACAUGUCUAAAUUUGAUUGGAAAGAAGGCCCACGUCAGACUGCCACGUGGUCCUCCCGUAGCACUGAAAAAUUUCUCAUGAGCUUCAUUGACGUUUCUUCAACGUGGUGGUUGAUUCAAUUAUUUAAUUUACCAUAAUUAAAUUAAUAAUUAAAUUCAGUUUAUCUCUUUAAACUUUAAGUCGAAAAUUAGUUUGAUCCCUGAUUUUUUUUUUUUAUUUCACGUCAGUCUAUAUACUUUCACAAUUACAUCACUGUAGUCUAAAAUUUGAAUUUGGCGCUGAACAUGACUCUGUUGAUGUAGACCCGACAACAUGGCCCCAUUUUUAAGAUAUUAAAUUUUAAUUUGAACAUAAUGUCCAAACUACCCUUAUCUUCUUUUUUAGGAGAACAAAAAAUUAAUGUUGGGUGGGCUGGGUUUGAAGCCUAGACCUUAUCUUUUUUUUUUUUAAUCACGUCUGACUCUGCUGAUGUAGACCCGACAGCAUGGCCUCACUUUUAAGAUAUUAAAUUUUAAUUUGAACAUAAUGUCCAAACUACCCUUAUCUUCUUUUUUUAGGAGAACAAAAAAUUAAUGUUGGGUGGGCAGAGUUCGAAGCCUAGAGCUUGCUGUCAAAUACUAUGCUCCAAACCACUGGAGUAACUAUUGCUCAUAUACCUUUUAGUACAUCUAUAUUUAUUAGUACGAAAAAAUGAAAGGAAAAUAAUAAAUAAUAAAACUAUUUGUGAUUGUGUUCCUACCAUUCACGCCCAGACCUUUACUCCAUGCCUUCACUGAAGGUCAUAAUCCCAGAAUUUUUUUUUCUUUCAGUUUGUUUAUCCUCCUCUUCUUUUUCUUCUUUUUCCUUCAAAUCAAACUAUCAAAGAAAUCACGCUGCAAAUUCCGACCGGGAGGAUGAAGGGUGAGACGGCUUCUUCGUCGUCGGGGAAGCUAAGGAGCUUAAGGAUUGUUUCUGACGAUUCUUGAGCUUGGCAGAAGAGGGGUUUGAUAGGAAAUUCGGCAUCGAUGCGAUGGCGGAACUUCUCUGCUUUUGAGGAGCUUUGUGGCUGGAUUGGUGGGGUGGGGGGGGGGGGGGGGGGGGGAUUUGGGGGUUUGGGGUUUUCAAUGAAUUGGCUUGGUGGUCGACGGCGAUUCGGAGGUUGAAAUUGAUGGGGUGGCAUCCUCGAGGCUGCGUUCGAGGCCGGGAUCAGAGGGGUGAGGCGGAGGGACUAGGUCGUGGUCGCCUAAAGUUUAUUUUAUUUUAUUUUUUUUCCCUAGUCUCUUUAUUUCAAAAUGUCUGUUUUGUCCUUCUUAUGGGUCAUCCUGUCUGGUCCACAUCAGCAGAUGAUGUCAUGUUCGGAGUCAAAUUCAAAAUUUUAGACCACAUUGAUAUAAUUGUGAAAGUACAAGAACUGACGUGAUAAAAAAAAAUCAAGACCAAACUGAUUUUCGAACAAAAAAUUUGAGGGAGUAAACUGAAUUUAAUCCUUAAAUCAAUCAGUCUUAAUUAAUCGAUUUAAUUAUGACCGAUAAAGUAUUUCACUAAUUUGAUUAAAUUCCGACUUCAUUUUUAAUAAUCGAUUUGAUUUGAUUGAUGUCUGAUUAUCGAUUAAUGUUUAAUAUUUGAUUUUAAUUAGGAUUGAUGAUUUUGUUGUCGACCGACCAUUCACACGCCGCCACGUGACAUUUUCGAAGACUUUUCAACUUUACUGACUCACGAGCCACGUAUGCAAUUUGUCAGACCCCUGAGUUGUAUGAAUAAUUUCCGAAGACUUUUCGAUAAUCGAUUUGAUUUGAUUGAUAUCUGAUUAUUGAUUGACAUUUAAUAUUUGAUUUUAGUCGGGAUUGAUGAUUUUAUUGUCGACCGACCAUUCACACGCCGUCACGUGUCAUUUCCGAAAACUUUUCAACUUUGCUGACUCACGAGCCACAUAUGCAAUUUUUCGGGCCCCUGGGUUGUAUGAAUAAUUUAAUUGCUUCAGUUCUAUAUAUACCGCGUCCCACAUGUUUCAUCAAGUGUCAGAUAAUACAGAACCUACUUCGCCAAAAUGAAGAAAAUUGAGGUCAGUAUAAAUUCCAAACACACCAUCAAACCAUCAUCUUCCUCUACACCACUACAGCCUUACAAGCUUACCCUCCUGGACCAGCUCACUCCUCCAACGUAUGUCCCUAUGGUAUUCUUCUACCCCAUUACUGACCAUGUCUUCAAUCUUCCUCAAACCCUAGCAGACUUAAGACAAGCCCUUUCCGAGACUCUCACUUUGUACUAUCCACUCUCUGGAAGGGUCAAAAACAACCUAUACAUCGAUGAUUUUGAAGAGGGUAUCCCAUACCUUGAGGCUCGAGUGAAUUGUGACAUGACUGAUUUUCUAAGGCUUCGGAAAAUCGAGUGCCUAAAUGAGUUUGUUCCAAUAAAAACAUUUAGUAUGGAAGCAAUAUCUGAUGAGCGUUACCCCUUGCUUGGAGUUCAAGUCAACAUUUUGGACUCUGGAAUAGCAAUCGGUGUCUUCAUCUCUCACAAGCUCAUCGAUGGAAGAACGGCAUACUGUUUUCUCAAGUCCUGGGGUGCUGUUUUUCGAGGGUGUCGUGAAGAUGUCAUACAUCCUAGUCUCUCUGAAGCAGCAUUGCUUUUCCCACCGAGAGAUGACUUGCCUGAAAAGUAUGCCGGUCAGAUGGAAGGGUUAUGGUUUGCCGGAAAGAAUGUUGCUACAAGGAGAUUUGUAUUUGGUGCGAAAGUCAUAUCUUCAAUUCAAGAUGAAGCGAAGAGCGAGUCCGUGCCCAAGCCAUCACGAGUUCAGGCCGUCACUGGUUUUCUCUGGAAACAUCUAAUCGCUGCUUCUCGGGCACUAACAUCAGGUAAAAUCAGUUUAUCAACAAGCCAAAUAAUAAAGCCUAAUGUAUUUGGGGUACUUAUUUAUAUAUUUUUAUUACGUAUAUCUAGUGUACUGUGUACAUAGCUCAAAGAAUGAGAAAAUAUAUGAACUUGCAGGUACUACUUCAACAAAACUUUCUAUAGCAGCCCAGGCAGUGAACAUAAGAUCACGGAUGAACAUGGAGACGGUGUUGGAUAAUGCCACUGGAAACUUGAUGUGGUGGGCACCGGCCAUACUACAGCCAAGUCAUACAACACCAGAGAUUAGUGAUCUUAAGCUGUGUGACUUGGUUAACUUGCUCAAUGGAUCUGUCAAACAAUGUAACGGUGAUUACUUUGAGACUUUCAAGGGUAAAGAGGGAUAUGGAAGAAUGUGUGAGUAUCUAGAUUUUCAGAGGACUAUGAGUUCUAUGGAACCAGCACCAGAGAUUUAUUUAUUCUCGAGCUGGACUAAUUUUUUCAAUGCACUUGAUUUUGGAUGGGGGAGGACAUCAUGGAUUGGAGUUACGGGAAAAAUUGAAUCUGCAUUUUGCAAUUCCACAAUGUUGGUUCCAACACAAUGCGAUAAUGGAAUUGAAGCAUGGGUGAAUCUAGAAGAAGAGAAAAUGGCUAUGCUAGAACAAGAUCCCCAGUUUCUAGCGGUAGCAUCUCCAAACCCCCCAAUUUCAAGGUGUUGAUUAAAAAAGAUUAUGUGGCUCGUGCAAUGUUUCGAUUUUGUAGUGAAUAAGGUUUAAAUUAGUUCACCAGCCAAUCAAUAAGAUGCAAGUAUGAUAGACUCUGUCUACGUAUGUUAUCCGAAUGUGUUUUCGAUAUGCUUGUAACCAAUAUAGCUCUUGUUUGUAAUAAUGCUCUGUUAAGCUUCUAUCUAUAAAGUUAUUUCUCUUGAUUAAAGAAAAAACUAUACAAGUUUUGUUAAGCUUUAUUCUAUUUUUAAGAUAGGAUGUAUGUAGUACCUAUAAAGAUGGUUCACCUAUUAUUAUUUUCAAAUACAUGAUUAUCCGGUACAAUUACGUAGAAUAUUUCUAUAGCUAAAAAAAUGUAAUUUUGAUCCGUGACAACAUGAUUAAAAAAUUACAUAUUCUGAUACAUUUGUUCUCUAACGACAAGCAUGGCCAUAAUGCCUCACCUGAUCAUCUAUGUGAUGGGGUAGUGUCCUUUCUUUUUAAGAGAAGGUAGGCACCUAAUGUGAAGGCCUCUACGAGAGACUAAUAUUGUCUGAUCUUCUUUUGUUCAUCAAAUUAAAGAAACGAAAAUGGCCACAAUGCCUCACUAUUGAUAGAAGAUAGAACCAUACAAUAAUUUGGAACAUAUGCAUGGAGACAAGGAAAUAUAACACAAUAAAACCAUUAUAAUUUCACUUUAUGUGGGAAACUUGGCCAAAACCGAAUCACAUCCACGUUGGCAACAAAAAGUGACUGGAAAAAAAGAGCCCCCAAAAAGCUAAAACACUAUAAAAACCAGAAAACUUGAAUAAGCGAAAAACCAAAAGUAUGACAUUUACACACACACUCUAUCUCUCUCUCAAAGUCUGAAAACUUGCGCAAUAAGGUACCUAGCUCUCUGGUCUUUUCUUUCUAAUGCAUAUAAGUCCCUGUAAAUUUUAUGGCUUUUGGAAUGAUGAUUUUAUGCUUGUGGAUCUCAGAUGGGUUUGUUUUGUUUUGGGAUUUUUAUAAAUGAAUCCAUUGAAAAUGUUGAAAGCUUAUGCCUUUGUUCCUUGGUUCACUGUUCUGGUUUUGUAAAUUGUGUGUACGAGAGUUGAAAUGUUGGUUUUGGUAAAGAGAAAUGUUCUAUAACCAUGUAAGUUAUCUUCUAAAGUUGUUCGAGUACUGCAUAGGAAAUAACGACCUAAACUGCUAGAUGCUCUGAGAAACUUAAUUAUCCGAUUCGUUGUGAUAAAUUAAUAGAACCAUCAAUAGCCGUGAUAGUCCCUUAAUAUUUGGUGGCUAAUUAGCAAUGCAUUCAUGGUAGUUGCAUGUGCUUAUUUUGUGCAGUAUUCUAAUUCUAUCACUUGCAAAAUCGUUGUGGAAGGUCAAGAGGAGAAAACUGAAAAUGGGGCAGCAUGCAUCUCAUUUUAUUUUUUUAUGCAAUAGAGCCCUAUAUAUAAAAUAAAUAAUGUAUCUAUAACCUUCUCUAAUUAAUUUACUUAGUAAUUGACGCAAUUUGGCCGAACUGUUUCUAAACACACUAAGCUUCAGUUCUAUAUAUACCACGUACCACAUGUAUGAAUUCAUCAAGUGUCUGAUAAUACUAAACCUACUUCGACAAAAUGGAGAAAAUUGAGGUCAGUAUAAUUUCCAAACACACCAUCAAACCAUCAGCUUCCACUCCACGACUUCAGCCUUACAAGCUUACCCUCCUGGACCAGCUCACUCCUGCAAUGUAUGUCCCCAUGGUAUUCUUCUACCCCAUUACUGAUCCUGUCUUCAAUCUUCCUCAAACCCUAGCUGACUUAAGACAAGCCCUUUCCGAGACUCUCACUUUGUACUAUCCACUCUCUGGAAGGGUAAAAAACAACCUAUACAUCGAUGAUUUUGAAGAGGGUGUCCCAUACCUUGAGGCUCGAGUGAAUUGUGACAUAACUGAUUUCCUAAUGCUUCGGAAAAUCGAGUGCCUAAAUGAGUUUGUUCCAAUAAAAACAUUUAGUAUGGAAGCAAUAUCUGAUGAGCGUUACCCUUUGCUUGGAGUUCAAGUCAACAUUUUCGACUCUGGAAUAGCAAUCGGUGUCUCCGGCUCUCACAAGCUCAUUGAUGGAAGAACGGCAGACUGUUUUCUCAAGUCCUGGGGUGCUGUUUUUCGAGGGUGUCGUGAAGAUAUCAUACAUCCUUGUCUCUCUGAAGCAGCAUUGCUUUUCCCACCGAGAGAUGACCUGCCUGAAAAGUAUAUAGCUUUGAUGGAAGGGUUACGGUUUGCCGGAAAAAAAGUUUCUACGAGGAGAUUCGUAUUUGAUGCGAAAACCAUAUCUGCAAUUCAAGAUGAAGCGAAGAGCGAGUCCGUGCCCAAGCCAUCACGAGUUCAGGCCGUCACUGGUUUUCUCUGGAAACAUCUAAUCGUUGCUUCUCGGGCACUAACAUCAGGUAAAAUUAGUUUAUCAACAAGCCAAAUAAUAAAGCCUAAUGUAUUUGGGGUACUUAUUUAUAUAUUUUUAUUACGUAUAGCUAGUGUACUGUGUACAUAGCUCAAAGAAUGAGAAAAUAUAUGAACUUGCAGGUACUACUUCAACAAAACUUUCUAUAGCAGCCCAGGCAGUGAACAUAAGAUCACGGAUGAACAUGGAGACGGUGUUGGAUAAUGCCACUGGAAACUUGAUGUGGUGGGCACCGGCCAUACUAGAGCUAAGUCAUACAACACCAGAGAUUAGUGAUCUUAAGCUGUGUGACUUGGUUAACUUGCUCAAUGGAUCUGUCAAACAAUGUAACGAUGAUUACUUUGAGACUUUCAAGGGUAAAGAGGGAUAUGAAAGCAUGUGUGAGUAUCUAGAUUUUCAGAGGAUUAUGAGUUCUAUAGAACCAACACCAGAGAUUUAUACAUUCUCGAGCUGGACCAGUUUUUUCAACCAACUUGAUUUUGGAUGGGGGAGGUCAUCUUGGAUUGGAGUUACAGGAAAAAUUGAAUCUGCAUAUUGCAAUUCCACAGUGUUGGUUCCAACACAAUGCGAUACUGGAAUUGAAGCGUGGGUAAGUCUAGAAGAAGAGAAAAUGGCUACGCUAAAACAAGAUCCCCAGUUUCUAGCGGCAGCAUCUCCAAACCCCCCAGUUUCAAGGUGUUGAUUAAAAAAGAUUAUGUGGCUCGUGCAAUGUUUCUAUUUUGCAGUGAAUAAGGUUUAAAUUAGUUCACCCGUCGAUCAAUAAGAUGCAAGUAUGAUAGAUAUGUUAUUCGAAUGUGUUUCGAUAUGGUUGUAACCAAUUAAUAUAGCUCUUGUUUGUAACAAUGCUCUAUUAAGCUUCUAUCUAUAAAGUUAUUUCUCUAUUAAAAAAAAAACUAUGGAAGUGUUACCAAGCUUUGUUCUGUUUCAAAGGUAAGAUGCAUAUACUACCCGAAAAUAAUGUUCACCUAUCAUAAUUCUUCCACAUGAAAACCCGGUAAGAAUCACAUAAAAUAUUUCUAAUACUUUAGAAUCUAAUUUGGGUUUGUGACAACAUAAUUGAAGAGGUACAUAUUCUGAUACAUUCGUUAUUUAACGACAAGCAUGUACAUAAUACCUAACCUAGGAGGAGGGUGUACGUAGUGUUCUCUCUCCUUAAGAAGGCCUGCCUUUCGCGAAGGCCUCUUUCAAAGGACUGAUAUAAUAUAAUCUUCUUCUUUUUUUAAUCAAAAGAAACGAAAAUGGCUUCAUUGUUCAUAAUUUGGAAUAUAUGGUGGAUUGUACGGUGUUGUUUUGAGGGAGCUUCUCUCUCGGGUCAAGGGUUUCCAAUGGAUUUGUGCAAUGAGAUUUGAUUGGCAACAGUUAUUCGGGCAUCAACGCUCCAAUUUAGCACUCCUCAGUCCUCACUACCUCAUUGUUGUUGACGAUGGCGAUGACGACAUUAGCGAGCAUGGGUGAUGUGUGUGGCAUAUUUGUUUGUAUUGUUGCAUUAUUGCUUUCGGAUGUAAGGGCUUCGCCCUAUAGAUUAGCGAGCAAUUGGUCUCCUCUCAUUCUUUCUACCUUGAUCGAGUUGGAGAUCCAUGCACUUUAUUUGUAGUACUUUUUUUGGCCUCGCGUUUGCAAGCUUUGAAAUUCCCGUGAUUAAGGAAUUAUUCAUUUUUUACAAAAAAAAAGAAGAAGAUUUUUUCCUGAAAAAUAACACAACAACCAUCAUAAUUUCACUUUAUGUGGGAAAUUUAGCCAAAUCCGAAUCACAUCCACGUCGGCAACAGAGAGUGACUUGAAAGAAGUGCACCCAGAAAGCUAAAAAACCAUAAAAACUAGAAAACUUGAAUAAGGAAAAACUAAAGUAUGACAUUCCAAUCUAUUGUUUUAUGGUUUUUGAAGGAUUCAAAUUUGUCAACCACUUUUUACUUGACCACCUUAAUGACCACUAUCUAGAUUGGUGAUACGUGUCUUUUCAAAUUAUUUUACUUUAUUGUUUUAUUGUUGAUAAAAAAAAUAAACAUGUGUCACCAAUCUAAAUAGUGGUCAUUGAGAUGAUCAAGUAAAAGUGGUUGACAAAUUUGAAUCCAUUUCUUAUUGCGGUUUUGUUCUGCCAAAUCCAAAUCCCAUGACCCAAUCAUUUACACUCCCUCUCAAUCUCUGCAAAACUGACUGCUUCCCUUGAAAACGUGCGCAAUAAGGUACCUAGCUCUCUGCCCUUUUCCUUGUAAUGCAUUCAAGUCCCUGUAAAUUUUGUGGUUUUUGGUAAUGAUUUUAUGCUUGUGGAUCUCAAAUGGGUUUGGGUUUGUUUUGUUUUGGGAUUUUUAUAAAUGAAUGCAUUGGAAAUGUUAAAGCUUAUGCGUUUGUUCCAUGAUUCAGUGUUCUGCAAUUUGUGCCUUCUCUUCCGGAUCUGAUGUACGUGAUGUUCUAGCUAGUUGUCUUUUGGAUUGAAAAGAUAUUAUCUUUUGAUUGUUUUUGAUAGAACAUCAACAUCAAUCAUCAAUGAGAUGAAUCUGAAGUAGGUUAUUAGUUUGGAGAUAUGUUAAUGGUUAAUGAAUCAAGCUGAAGUUGUUCUGGUUAUUGGAGCAAUAGGUUCCAUACUGAAGCAUCUAAUUUUGAAUUUGCAAAGAGUGGUUGACGAGUUAUCCUUGGGAUUGGCGGGUGACAUUGAAAAAGUCUUGGUUUUGUGUAUAAGAGUUGAAAUGUGAUUUCUUUACUGUUACCAUGAUGUGGGUUCUACUAAAAGACUCGUUCUUGAAUCUGGGGUCAUGUCCUGUGAUGACUCAAUUCUUGCAAAACACAACUGAGAUGUGUCAAAAUGGGUUCGGGAGCGUCUUUAUAUAUCGAAGUAUCAUGAGUUUCGAUACUAAGUGAGGGUGCUGGAUAGAAUUGAGUUUGGAGGUUCAAUGCUUCAAAAACAAAGAAGCUAGAGGGAACGUAAUUCUUGAUGAUUCAAGACGGAUCAAUGACCUUGUAAUUAAGUUGCUUAUGUGCAAUUGUUGAGCUUAUGGUGUUUCCAGUUUGGAUACGGAUAGCUAUUUCUGUUUUCAGUAUAACCACCAUGUGUUGCAUCCUCUUACUCUUCAUCUUCAUUUACCUAUCUUUGAUCUGAUGUUCCAUUGGCAGAGCUCCCUUAUGCUAAACUGUAAAACCUGCAUUCCAGGUGGUCAUUCUGUUAGAACUUUGGAAGGUCUCGGAAAGGAAACACUCGUCGACAAAUUUUGGGAGCAGUUGCAUAAAAGGAAUGGUCUCCCAACUCGGAGAUAAUGGAGACGCGUACUGGAAAUUCCCGUCCCAAUAAAAAGCAAUCGUCGGAGAAGUCUAAAUCUGCCACUGAAGAGAAAAGGCCUGCAGAAAAGAAGCAAACACUUCUGUGUUUGUCAACUAUGGUAAGUUCAUUAGAUAGUAAGUACUGAGUUUUCUAACAUCGGUGUAACACCAUGCAACUAACUCAGUACUGUAGAAUAGACAUCUAUGUUAGUCUCUUUAGAUAAUAUGCACACUUUAACUUUUCAAAUGACGUCCUGCAUUAGUUAGUCAACUGUUCAAAAUCUCGUAGGUUACAAUUUUCCCAUCUCCAAAACCAAGUGUCCAUAAUCUUUUUCCCUCUUUGUUCACUAAACUAGUAAACUCCUCGUUUAGAUUAAUGUUCUAAAUCUUUUAGUUUUUGUUCCAUCUUGACAUAACUUGUGGCUCAUUACCUACGUUGCAUGGAAUCGGAAGCGGAAACGUGGAAGCGAAGCGUUUGGAAGCGCGGAAGCGAUUUUUUUGAAAAUAAUUUGGAAGCGAAAGCGUUUUAGAAAUGUGAGAAUCAAAAUAAUAUAUACAAAUAACAAAUAUAUAUCACCUAAUUUUAAUUUCAUUCAUUUAUUUUAAUCGUUAAUUUUAAUAAGUUGUACAAAUUAGUUUGAUUGUUUAGCAGAUAACAACUCAUUCUUAAAAAAAAAAGAUAUCACUAAACCUUAUAAAAAUAAACUUCUUCACUAAAAAAAAGUCCACCAUGAAAUAUUGAAAGCACACGUCUCUCUAAUCUCUACACCUUUUAAUCUUCUUUCUUCACCUCUCUAUGCUCUCUCACCCUCCAGGUUGCCGUCAUCUUCUUUAACUUCAUUCUCUCUCACUCCUCUCCCUCCCUCCAGUUUCAAAUCCUUUCUUAACAGGUCCUCAAGCAGAAGAUCUGAUUGAUUAUAGAUUUCGAAAGAGAUAGAGAGAAGAUUGAUGUGCCGCUGAAUCAGUUCUCGUGCAGUGGACCAUCGCGCUUCCAAAUCAAAAUCGUGAGCUUCCAUAUUGGAAGCAUGCGCUUCCGUCGUGCUUCCAAAACCCUCUUUUCCCGGAAUCACGAUUCCGGGCGCUUCCGAGCGCUUCCACGGCGUUUCCGCUUCGCUUCCGCUUCGGAAGCGGGCGAGUGGCCCGGCGCUUCCGUGCUUCCUAGCUCAUUACUGCCCUGUAAACCAACUACGGCCGAGUUGUACCAAAAGGAAAUUCGGCCUCUCAUCAAUGAGUAAAGGUUUUUUUUUUUUUUUUCUUCCUUUUGUGGGGGAAGAAGAAGUAUGCAAUAAUUUUGGAAGUAACAUAUCCCCUAUCACCAUUCCUUGCAACAAGCAAUUACUUCUGGCAUUUUGUGGUUGAUGUUGAUCAUUUUGUAACUUUUGUUCUUUCAUGAUAAUAAAGCUAAUUUCUCAUGUAGCUGCAAUUGCUUGGCAUGAGAGUAGAAGAAAGUGGAUAGGGGAUCAGCGGCUGCAAAGAAUGGCCAAGGAUCCAAUUAUAAGGUAUUUUUUCCUCACAAAGGUUCCUGGAUAGAAUGGGGUUAGCAAGUCAUGGUUAAAGAGUUGCACCUUAAAGUUUAAUAACAAAAGAAAAGUUGGAGAGCAUAACUGCCAUAACUUAUAUUCUUUGUAGGUACAAAUGAACUCAUUAACACUGGUGUGUCAGUUUUUAGGAAAUUACACUUAUAUUUGAGUAUCUGUCACUCUGUCCACUACUUGCACCCUGACUUGCUGAUCUGUAAAUCCUAGAUUUUUCAAAAUUGCUCCUUUAGUCCUUUUGUUUGGUGUGUGUCCAUAUUAGUAGCUUUGUCCAUUUAUGCUGUUAAAUUGUAGCUGCUAUAUGAAUGUCAGGAAGUUAAAUGUGAAAACUAUAUGCUGCAUAUUAUAGCACCAUUGUAAUGAUUGAUGAUAUUAGUGUCUUUGUCCAAUUAUUUUCUGUUCAAUUAUUGCUACUUCUUGAAGAUAAUGUGGAAAGUUUAUGUUUCAGCUGGUCAACAGCCUAUGAGGAUCUACUCUCAACCAAUGAGUGUUUUUCUGAGCCGAUCCCCUUAACUGUAAGUCGAUCAUAUAAUAGCACAUACCUGUCCAAUAAAUAUCUUCUGAUAAGUCAUAUAUCUCUAUUACUUGUGUUUAUUUGACAUUGGAAAUAUUUUCUAAAGUUUGAUGUUUUUAUAAAAUUGGUUUUAAGCAUGUUUUCAUACUGGAGCUCCACUUUAUGUUUUCAAAAGUCAUGGGUAGUUUUCUUGAGCAGCGAGGACGAAAACUCAUCCCUACAACAGUUUGUGGAUGCAUGUAUUGUGCACUGGGACAAGAUAAUGGCGAGGAGUUGGGUGUGCAUGUUUGUGAUCGGUAAUUUAUUUUCUAUGCUUACAUGUUUAUUUUUAGACUCAAGUUACAUGUUUAAAUUGUAUUCUGUUGGCCUUGUUAUAAUCUCAUCCGUGAUUCUAUUAAUGAAGCUUGUUAAUUACUGGCCAUUCCUUAUAUCAAGUUUUAUACGAACAUAAGAGUCUAAUCCUGAUAUGAUUUUGUCUUGUGAGACUCUCAUUGCAAUUUGUAUUCUUUUGAGUUCAUUAUUUCUUAACGUUUAUUGUGUUAGGUUUUAGACGAAUGACUUUACCUUAAGCAAAUUAAAUAUUUUUCUUUUACAUACACCUCAAAUAGUUUUACGCUUCCGUGGUGUUUGCUUAAAUGAUUUCUUAAAUAAACUGUCUUGCGUUUCUCUUGGUUUUUAUUUUAGAGACAUGCGGCACUGUGACGUGUCUAAACUAAGGAGGCGUAGUUUGGGGCGUUACAGAUUUAAUCUUUACACACUAUGAGAAUAUCAAAAUAUCACGAUAUUUGUGCAAAACUCACGAAAUCUUGUUAUUAAAUCAGCCGAAGUCAUCAUAUAUAGUCAUUAACUCGGGCCAAACUUAUAAAAUUAACACUAAAGUCUUGGCGCAGCUAACAUGAUUUGAACCCAGGUUGCCACAUGUUUGUAACAUCCUGAAAUUUCAAAUUUUUAUUUUUAAAAGGAAAGUUAUUUUUAUUUCGAUUUCUAUUAUUCUUUUAAAUUCUUUAUAGUUUUUGAAAAUUAUUCAAAUUUUGUUUUUGGAGCCCAUCGGAUUAAACUAGAGGCCGUGAUGAAUUUGUGGGAUUUUUCGGAACACCGUUUGGAUAUCGGAUAUAUUUUUAAUGAUUUUUAGAAGUUGGUAUUAUCUAAAAAUUUAAUUAAAAAUAGAAAAUCAAGGUCGGUCAAAUUUGGUCCGUCCAGAUUAUAUGGGUAUGGAUCAACUUGGACUUCAUUAUACCCAGUCCCAGACCGACUCCGUCUCCAGCCUCUAUCAGCGACGGAGACCUCCGGUCACUCCUCCGUUGUCCGGCCGUCUCCCGCCGCAAAACGACUGUCUACAGCUCUGUCUCGACGUCCCCGACCUCCCUGGGAUUCCAGCUUGAUGAGUGGAGCUCCGGAAAAGGAGGAGAGAAGGCGACUGUGUUUCCGAUCGGGUUUCCGAUUCCGGUGACGGCGGCGAGCGUGAAUGGUACUGGAAGCAUCCUCUCGUCCUCGUGGUCUUCCCUAUGUCCUCAGUUUCUUCAGAAGAGGUCGGGAGAGAGAGAUUCGAAGUGGAGAAGGAGAGGCUGGGUUCGCCGGCGAGUUUCCGAUUCCGGCCAAGUCGAGGUUUCUCACUGGUAUGAAUAGCUUCAUGUCGGUCUCGGGAACCUUUCCAUGUUGGUGGUUUUCGAAGAGAAGCUCGGAGGAGGGAGAAUCGAAGAGGAGAAGUUUCUGAAUUUUCCGGCGAGGGUUCGACGGAUUCCGGUGAAGCUUGAUGUCGACUCAGGUAUUAAAGUUGGUCUAUUCGAUGAGCUUUACAUGUUUCUAUAAUUGAAAUUGAGAUUGGUUGGGUGUUGGAGAAGUGGGAUUUUGGACAGGUUGUCGACCACCGUGUACGGCGGCGGCGGCGGUUGUUCUUGUAGUUUCUGGCUUUUGUUAAUACAUUGAUUGUGGAGGAGUGUUUUGAGAUGUAUUAGAAUUGCAGGAACAUGAGAAUUGUAUGAAGUUGGGUUUUGAGCAGUGUGGUGUGUGGCCACUGUUCACGGCGGCUAUGGUGGUGUUUUGAAAUCAGAAGACUUGUGUGAGGGAGAGGUUGAAGAUGUGUAUUAUGUUUGGUAUGAGUGUUCAUUCAAUUGGCUUUGGUAUUUGAGAGCAGGGUGCUACGAAUAUCUUGGUUUUGUGAUCAAAGUUGAAGUAAAGCAUAUAUGUUUGUAUGGUUGUGAGAUAUGGUGGUAACUGCAGCAAUGGAUAGUUGAUCAAGGUUCACAUGAUCUUGGAACAAAUGUCCAGUCGAUAACUUUAAGAUGUAAUUGGUAUUGCUAUGCUUGAACAAUUGUGUUUCGGUGGAUUGAAGAUUUGCCGGAAGGUGUGUAGUAAGAUGGGUGUCCAAAGUAAUUGAUGGAGACUGGUGUGUUCUCUUUUGAAUUAUUGUUAGAGAAAGAUGAUUAGAGGAGUUGGGUGUAAUGAACGUUAAGUUGGCUUUGCUGGGUUGUUGUGGAGUCUUAAGAGCAGUAUGGGUACGGGAACAGAAGAAUUGGAUUUUCAUUACUUUCAUAUGGAUUUGAUGUGUUGCUGGGGAGUAGGAAACAGUAAAGGAUUUAGGUUUGGUCAUGUCUGGGUUCGUUGAUAAGUUGUUAUGCCUACAAUUAAGACAUGAGAAGAUUGAUCAAGUUUGAGAUAGGCAAAUAUAAAGGAUUUAGUAGAAAAGAGGAAUUGGGUGUAGAGAGUAAAUUCGGUGCUUAGCUUGGUGCUUGGAGCAUGGUUGGGAUACGACUAAUUAUGGGUGGCGUGUGAUUUGGUAAUUGUCGGAAAAGGUGAGCGGAAUUGGAAAUAAAGAUUUUGAUCGUUUCUAAUUAAAGUGUUUGCCGACUUUAUUGGAACAAGGAUUUGAUGUGAGGGAGCAUGUUGCAAUCCGAGGAGCAGAAUGAUAAGGAUUUCAAAAUGCGUGCCGCGGUGUUAUUAAUUUUAGUAAGCGUCGGAGUCAAGGCUUGGAUUCCAGGUAGGGUCUCUCUCAGGGAACUUUUCUUUAAAUUGAUAAUUAGGUUAUUGUUGAAAUCGGUGCAUUGUGUGGCAUUGGUUGAUAUAACUCUUGGUUGUUAUCGAUUUUGUUAAAAGCAUGUGAUAUCGUUGAUUUAUAUGAAAUUAAUGUUAUUGCUUUCCGUAAAAGCAUGAGUUGAAUGUUAUGAUAUGAGUAUUGAUAUUCAAUUGACAUGCAUAAUGCAUUGUGAGGAAUUGUGAGAAGUGAGAUUGGUGAUUCUGGAGAUGAGAAAGAGAUUGAUAGAAUAGAUACAUUUUGUGUAGUUGAGUUUCCUCAUGGGUUGUCCAAGAUCCAGGGUAGUCCACACGUGCAUAAGUUCAGGGAAUGUAUGCCAUUUCGAUGGCGGACAUCGACAAAACAAUUUUAUCGGGUUUCGGGUUUGGAGACCAUGAGUAUAACAAGAUGAUUAACAAUAGAGGUACAAGCCAUAAGAUAUUACUGAUUAUUAGAUCAUAUAUUUGAGACAUUUGUGUCACCCCCGGUUGGUAAAAUACACGGUAUGGGACGUGUAGGCUCACAUAUCUUUGAUGUAUGGACUGAUAGCCAGUAAUUGAGGAAGACAUUCAUUAGCAUACAUGUAUCAAAUUGUCGUUAUUUAUUUAAAGUAUUAUUUGAUGUUUGAUAACUUGUUUGUGCGAUGUAGUUAAUUAUAACUUAAAAAGGUUUGGCUCUUUGGCCCUACUAAGCGUAAGCUCACCCCUAUAAACUUUUGUUCAGGUACGUUUGAGGACACGUUUUUCUAGAAGCGUAACUGUGAAGUUUAGCUGACGUGUACGAGAGUAGAAGAGUUACAGAAGAUUAGAAGUCAGAUAGAUCGUAAGGGCUUAUCUUUUUGUCUUUGUAAUUGUUUUUUGUUAUUGUAAACGUUUUAUUUUCUUUUAUUUCUGGAAAAGUAUUUGAAAUUGUUUUAUUUUCUUUUACUUUUCCCGCUCAUGUCUCGGGUACGGCGUCAGGUGCUUGGAAACCACCGACACCGGGUCCGGGGUUUGAUGUAUGGACUAGCCAGUAAUUGAGGAAGACAUUCAUUAGCAUACAUGUAUCAAAUUGUCGUUAUUUAUUUAAAGUAUUAUUUGAUGUUUGAUCACUUGUUUGUGCGAUGUAGUUAAGUAUAACCUAAAAAGGUUUGGCUCUACUGAGUGUAAGCUCAUCCCUAUAGAUUUUUGUUUAGGUACGUUUGAGGAUACGUAUUUCUAGAAGCGUAACUGUGAAGUUUAGCUGACGUGUACGAGAGUAAAAGAGUUACGGAAGAUUAGAAGUCAGAUAGAUUGUAAGGGCUCAUCUUUUUGUCUUUGUAAUUGUUUUUUGUUAUUGUAAACGUUUUAUUUUCUUUUAUUUCUGGAAAAGUAUUUGAAAUUGUUUUAUUUUCUUUUAUUUUUUCCGCUCACGUCUUGGGUACGGCAUCAGGUGCUUGGAAAUCACCGACACCGGAUCCGGGGUGUGACAAUGGUAUAUCUCACAUUCUCAACCAAUCCUCCUAAGGUGAUACUUGAUUACUACAUUGAACAUUUUAUUAUAAACUCUACAUAUAUUUUCAUACUUUUAAAAUUUCUUUUCGAAAUUUUAUUAAUAUUGAUAUUUUCUAAUAUUUUUAUCAAAAUAUCUAUUUUUCAGAUAGUCAAAAUUUUCUUGAAACGUGAUAUUUUUGUAAUAUAUCGAAAUUUCAAAUUUUUAUUUUUAAAAGAAAAAUUAUUUCCGAGCUAUUUUUAUUUCGAUUUCUAUUAUUUCUUUCAAUUCUUUGUAGCUUUCGAAAAUUAUUUCAAUUUUUAGUUUGUCAAAAUUUAUCUUUUGAGUCCAUAGGAUUAACGGAAGCGUUUUCGGACAUCGGAGCUAUUUUUAAUAAUUUUUAGAAGUUAAUAUCGUCUAAAAAAAAAAUAUUUUUAAACCCGCUUGAUCUGGACCGUUGGAUCAUUUAAACCGCAAGAUCUGGGCUGGGGGAGACUGGAUCAGAUCAGUUCAGACCCAGACUGGGUCAGCCUCGAUCCAAAUAGCAGCGACGGGUGACCGGACUGCCGCUUUGUCCUCCAGCGACGGCGUGGGGAAAUCAUGGCAGCUUCGGCUUCGUCUCGGUCGCCUGAUCCUAUCUGUGGUCUCGAUUUCGUCGAUGGAGCUUCGAUGAGAGAGAAUCGAAGAAGGGUAGCUUUUUCUGGGUUUGUCGACGAGUUUACUAUUUCAGCCACGGCGGCGAGCAUGAUCGGUCUUGGUAGCUUCACCUCGACCUGUUGAACAUUUCUUUGAAGAGAAGGUCGGAGGAGGGAGAAUCGAAGAGAAGAAGUUUUUAGGUUUUAGGCAGUGUUCUUGGUGUUUUCCGGCGACCUCGGACUUCAAUUCAGGUAUCAAAGUUGGUCGACUCGUCAAGCCCUACAUCUCUAUAUAAUUGGUUUUCAUUUUUGAUUAAGUUUUGAAGAAUCGAAGUUUUGGGGUUUUACUGUGCAAUUUGAGUUUUCCUGUUUGUGUGGUGAUUUUGGUUGCCUUGGGGCGUUCUUCGAUUGGAAUUGACUUUAUGAAGUUGAUUUGAUGAUCUUAAGCCCUUGAAUUACAUAAUUGGAAAAGUUGGGUUUUGGGGCAGUGUUGUUCGGCGAUGGAAGUGGUGGUUGAUGGUUCUGGGUUUGGUUUAUGUUUUAGAUGAAAUUACAAGAGCAUUAGAACUUAAUUAUGUUGUUGUGUCGCCUGGAUUCCAUAAACGGAGAAGUUGAGUGUAAGAAAAUUAGAGUUAUGCAAUUUGGAAUUGAGCUAAGAUUGGAGUAGAUGAUAGUAUCGGGUUUUCUGCUGAUUUUGGUUUAUUGUUUGUGGUGGUGACUGCAGUAUUCUUGUUCCAUUUCCAAUCAUAUGAAAGUGCAGGAACAUGAAUUUGGAUGCUUGAUUGGUAAAAGAUGAGUUUUGGGUGGUAGGAAAUGGAGCUGUGUUAUUGGAAUAGGGAGGGGAAGAUGGUUGUGUAUAGUACUAAUACUGAACUUGGCGGAGUUGAAGGAUGCAACUAAGAACUGUUGAUUUGCGAUAUGGAACUAGGAGCUUGAUUUCAAAUGGAGAAAGUGAGUAUUGGCAAGUGCAGGAGUAGGACAACUUGAGAAGUAUAAAUUGGCUAAAGAGCUUAUGGGUGUCCUUAUCAAUUUCAAAGACUGGAUUGCAUCGACUUGAAAUCAUCAGAGUGAAUAAAUGCGGAUUAAGGAACUCAUCUGGGUGUCUUAGUAGAUUUAUGAAUUCGGUCCGGUUGACUUAAAGUGACUUAAAUUUGGCUUAAAGUGAGUUUUGCGGAUUAAGGAUUCAGGGUGUCCUUAGUAAUUUUAAGAACAUGAUCAAUUUUGGAAAUUGAUUUAGUUUAUUUGAGGUUCGACGGCUUUCUCGGUAAGGAAUUGUGACGAGGAUCGAGUGACUAUCGACUUUUUCAGAAGCAGAAGGAUAAAGAUUUCAGAAUGCGUGUCGCUGAGUUAUUAGUUUUAAUUAGCGUCAGAACUAGCGCUCGGAUUUCAGGUAUGGUCUUUCUUGGGGAACCUUUUUUUAAAUUGAUAAUUAGAUUGUUAUUGAAAUUGGUGAAUUGUUUGUCAUUGAGUGAUUAACUCUUGGAUGUUACUGCUUUCUAUAAAAGCAUGUGUAAUCGUUGAGUUAUAUGAUUGUUAUUAUCGCUUUUCUUAAAAAGUAUGUGUUGGAUGAUAUAAUAUGAGUAUUGUUAUUCGUUGCAUACAUAAUGCAUUUUGAAGAAUUAUGAGAUUAGUGAGAUUGGUGAUUAUGGAGAGGUGAGAACGAGAUCAAAAUAUACAUUUUGUACAGUUGAGUUUCCUUAUGGGUUGUCCAUAAAUCUAUGUCAUCCCACUUGCGCAAAUGAGUGGGCAAAGUAUACUCCUUCGAUGGCGGACAUCAAUAAAACGAUCUUUCGGGUUUCGGUUUUGGAGAGUAUGAGUAUAACAAGAUGACUAACAAAAGAGGUACAGGUGAUGAGAUAUUACUGAUUGUUAGAUCAUAUAUUCGAGACAUCUGAGUCACCCAUGGUUGGUAAAAUACACUGUAUGAGACGUGUAACUGAGGAAGACAUUCAUUAGCAUAUAUGCAUCUAAUUAUCGUUAUAUAUUUAAAGUAUUGUUUGAUACUUGAUAACUUGAUUGUGUGACGACAUAGUUAAAUGUAACUAAAGAGGUUUGGCCCUACUAAGCGUGAGCUCAUCCCUAUAUACUCUUAUUCAGGUUCAUACAAGGACACAUAUUUGUAGAAGACUAACUGUGACGUUUAGUUGACGUGAACGAGAGUCGAGAAGGACUACCGAAGUUUCUAGUGAGCUAAACAACAAGACUAGUUUUACCUUUAUAGUGAGCUAGACUGCAAGACUUGUUUUGUCUUUAUAAUCGGUUUUGUUUUUUGUAAUCGUUUUAUUUUCGACUAUUUCGAGAAAAAUAUUUAAAAUUAUUUUAUUUUCUUUUAUUUUUCCCGCUCACGCCUCGGAUUCGGUGUUAAGUGUUUGGAAACCACCGACACCGGGUCAGGGGUGUGACAAUUUUAGUCCUUGGUUUGAUGCCUAAGCUACUUCGCUCCUCCAAACUGGGCCGGUGUUGGAUCAAACAAACAGAAACUUGAAAGAAGGAGUCCGAUACAAGUCAUACAACUACGUUGGUCGGAGCGGAUUUUACGCAUCAAGGUGCCCUUGCACCAUUAAUCUGUAAGUUUUUAAAUCUUCGUAUGCAAAGAUUUAAUGAAGACUAGAGACCUUAAAUUCUUUUCUUUCAUUUUUAUUUUUGACCUGAUCAAAUUAAACGCCAAUAAUUAGAGUACCUCUUAUUCAAUCUCAUGUCCUCAUCUCUUGUGUUGAAAACACUUUUGAUUAUUUUUUUGAGUUUUAAUUUUGUUAAUGGUAUUAAAAUACAUGCAUGAUAAUGCGACAUAGAUGAUCGGAUCAAAACAUUGCGUAUUAAUUGCUCGAUUCACUUGUAGAAGAAUUUUCGAGCUUCGGGCCAAUAUUCCAUUUUUCUUUUUAAUAAAAAAUUCUAGCAGCUAGACAGCUAGUUAACCAAUUGUGAAGCUACACAACUGGGACUUGCAGCGGAAAACAACUACCACGCGUUGCAUGGAGAGGUUAGGUCCUGCAUGCAACUCCGCCGCCCGUAAAUCUCCUACUGACAGCUCUACCCCUCGAUUUGCAGAUACUGAUGUAAAACCCGAGGACAAAACGGUAAUCGUUGAUACUCCGAGCCAGACAUAAAACUAUCCAAGAACAAAGAGGAGACACCACAGGAAAAAUGACCGGACCGCCUCUACCUCGACCCUUUCUAACGUGCUUGGUUGGUGUAGCAGUCUUAACCUGCGCACUAACCUUCUGUGUUGCCCUAGAUGUCACCCCCCAAGACCCAAUCAUCCACCAAGUCACAGACCAUGAUACUAACAAGCUCCUUGGAACCGAGAAAGAGUUCAAGAGUUUCAUGGAGAAGUAUGAGAAGAAGUACCCUACUAGGAAGGAGUACAUGCACCGGCUAGUUGUUUUUUCCAAGAACAUGAUCAGAUCCGCCGAGCACCAAGCUCUGGAUCCGACGGCGGUUCACGGCGUCACGCCGUUCUCGGAUCUGGAGGAGGAGGAGUUCGAGAGGAUGUACACCAUUCCUCGAAAAGUUAAAGUAAUCUUUUUUAGAAAUCGAAUGGAUUCGGUCUUAUACAUACGCAAGGAAGGUAAUAAAAAAAAAGAAAGAUGAGUUCUUUUAUCACUUAGGAGCUGUGCGAGAUAAAAGUCUCAUGCACGGUUUUGAAUGAGAGAAAGAAGUGAGGAAUCCUUUUUUCGACACUGACUCUCCCACUCCAGUUGUUGCUUUUUUUUUCUUUUUUUUCUGUUACUUCAAAAGUCGUUGCUUCAGUUUCAGCCACUCGAAUUUUCGAUGUUCUUUUUUAUUUCUCAUCAAACGAAUGGCAUUUUCUUCCUAUUACUCAAACAAGCAUGAAACGUAUGCUUGCGUAUUCGUCCAUAGGUCAAAUUGGAUAUGUAAUUAUUGGAAUAAUUGUUGGAGACUCAAAUGGUGGAUAUGUAAGCAUGAUAACUUAUAUGUUGUUCUAUAUCUCUAUGAAUCUAGGAACUUUUGUUUGCAUUAUAUCAUUUGGUUAGAGGUGCGCCCGGCUUAACCAACGGCGGAGGCGGUACGGGGAGCACGGUUGAGCUUCUGGAUGUUAGCGGGUUGCCUGAGAGUUUUGAUUGGAGAGAGAAAAAGGAGCUGUUACUGAGGUCAAGAUGCAGGUAGUUUCUAAUUUUCGUUUUAUUUCUGAUUUUUUAGGUUGGACACACAAUAUAUGUGAUUAACAGUUUCGGCCGUACUUAAAUCCUAGCUUUUUGCAAAUCAAGUUAUGGCACAUACGAUAUAGAAGUCUCGUAGCUGGUUGUAAAUUACUAAAUUGUGUAAUCUGAAGUCGAUCAGCUGAUCAGGUGCUGCUGGUUCUUUUGUUUAAUUGAUUGUAUAACUAGCUUGACUUUGAGAGUUUGAAGUUUUGUACAGAAAGAUUUGUCUAAUAGAGCUAGGGUGUUUGUGGAACAUGGAAUUAUUCUUCAGGCAAGGAGUUGUAUUGUGAUACUUAAAGCCUCUAAAUCUCUUGUUAUGGAUGCAGGGUGGCUGUGGGUCGUGCUGGACCUUUAGCACAACGGGAGCUAUUGAAGGAGCCAAUUUCAUUGCCACUGGGAAGCUUGUUAGUCUCAGUGAACAGCAGCUUGUUGACUGUGAUCACCAGGUAAUUAAGCCUAGCCUCUCUGGAAUAUAUUGAAGUACUCAUUUAACUUUAGGGCGAUAAAAAUUUAAUUGAUUGAGCAUAUAUAUAAUAUUUGGCAUGCCUACUUAAUUAGUUUCGUUUAAUGUUUGUGGCAACUAUAAUCAAGUGUGAUGCAAAAGAGAAAGAUGCAUGUGAUCGUGGUUGUGGUGGCGGACUUAUGACAAAUGCCUACAAGUAUCUAAUGGAAGCAGGAGGGUUGCAAGACGAGGUUUCAUACCCUUAUACGGGGAAAAAGGGCGAAUGCAAAUUUAAUCCUGAAAAAGUAGCCGUGAGAGUAACCAAUUUCACCACUAUUCCCCUUGAUGAGAAUCAGAUUGCAGCGAACUUGGUCCACAAUGGUCCUCUUGCCAGUGAGUACUAAACCUGAUAAUAUGCUUAAAAAUAGCUAGGCUUUUUAUGUAUCUAUGUGUGCGUACAUAGAACUGCCUUAAGUGUCUUAUUUUCUGAAUAUGAUGUGCACUGUUUAGCAUAUUUAGAUCUGAGUGUAGAUACACCCCACUGAUACAGAAUCUUAAUUGAUGUAUGUAUGCGCAGUUGGCUUGAAUGCUAUGUUCAUGCAAACCUACAUUGGCGGUGUGUCAUGCCCUCUUGUUUGUUUCAAGAAAUGGGUGAACCACGGUGGUUCACUUGUUGGAUAUGGUGAGAGUGGCUUCUCGAUUCUCAGGCUCAGCAACAAGCCGUAUUGGAUCAUCAAGAAUUCAUGGAGCGCAAAAUGGGGAGAACAUGGUUAUUACCGACUUUGCCGAGGCCAUGGCAUGUGUGGGAUGAAUACCAUGGUGUCUGCAGUUGUGACCAGUACGCGGGCAUCCUAGCUGCAUCUCCCGAGAUUAGCUAGUAUAUAAUUAUACACUAUAAUAUUAUAUGCACCUCUCCCUUGUUUUUUCUUAAUCCGAAUUUGAUGUUCCUAUAAUCAUAUUUCAACAAUAUUAUUGUUAAUAUGCCGAAGUGGAAAGUCUUGUUUACGUCAAAACCAAUUCGAACUAUAUUUUGUUAGCUUUAAAUGCUAGAUUGUCAGACUUCAAAUUUAAGUCGGAAAAAUUUUACAAUAUGUUAAUGCAUGUUAUGCAUCAAUUUUAUCCUAAAAUUGUAAAAUGAGUCUCUAAAGUAGUAAUAUUAGUCCUUGAAGUUGUAAUAUAUACGAGUAGUUGUAAAUUUUAAAGUUACAACAUUAGUUAUCAUGUGUCCUUAAAGUAAAUUUUACAGUUACAACAUUAGUCAUUGUGUCUUUAAAGUGAUAAAAUGCGUGCUUAAAGUGGUAAUUGAAUCCUCAAAGUGAUUGAAAAAGUUUUUAUAUCUUUGAGGAUUUGUAUUACAACUUUGAGGAUUUGUAUUACAACUUUGAGGACUCAGUUACCUCUUUAAGGACACAUAAGGAUUAAUAUUGUAACUAAUUUUUUUACAACUUUAAAGACUUAUAUUACAACUUUAAGGACUAGCUAAUAUUACUACCGUAAGACUCGAUCAUUUUAUAACUUAAGAGCAAAGUUGAUACAUCACAUGCAUUUUUUUUUUAUUGGUUAAUGAUCGAGGAUAGGCGAAUAAUCACCUAUCACUCUAUGUUAUUAAUAAAAGAAAAAAGAAACAAAGGAGGGGGAUCAAAACCAAAACAUCCUAAAACAAAUGACAGACUAGCUGAAACGAAAUUGAGGCAUACCUCUAACAUCGUUAUUAUAAGACAAUAAUAUGAAAGGUGGAGGCUCAUCCCACCAUAUCAAUUCAGAGCAUGACGUACCUUGAUUUGCCAGAGCAUCAGCUAUCUUAUUCCCUUCACGAAAAAUAUGAGUAGCCUUGAAAUUCAUUUUAGAGAUUCGGUAUAAGCAAUUCAACCAACGAACUCGAAGAGGCCAAGGAACAAGAGAAGGUCUGCGAAUAUAAUCAAGUACCAAAGAUGAGUCAACUUCCAACCAAAUAUGCUUCCAAUCACGAACCCAAGCAAGCUCAAUAGCUUUAAUAACAGCCAUUAUCUCCGUUGAAAUUGAACUAGGAAUUUCAAGAUUAGAGGCAAAAAGCACCUAGAAAGUGGCCCUUGUAAUCUCUAAAAAUAGCACCAUAACCACCCACUCCCUCUUCAUGCUUCCAAGAGCCAUCAGAAUUUAUCUUCACCCACCCAAGAGAAGGAGGAAUCCAAUUAACUUCAACCACUCUAGGAGUGGCACGAGGUCGACAUGGGGCUCCAAAACAUUUCAAAAUUCGUAGCUCCUGGACACUGUUAUGCAUAUGACCCGUUGUAAGAUGACUAGUGGCUCUUAUAUGACUUGAUAUUAGCUUGCAAACAACUUCAACUGAAAAGCGACAACCAUCAAAUCUGGUUUUAUUUCUCACAUGCCAAACAAACCACAAAAUGGAGGUAAAGCAAAUAAGCCAUAAUUCCAUUAAUUGAGGACUUCUUCCAUUCUGCAAACCCAACCCAUAAAGCUCCAAAAUAGAAGAAGGAAUCAUACCUAACUCAAAAAUAGAGCCAAAGUGACAGAAGAGACGCCAACGGCACCAACACCCAAAGCCAAAGGUAAAGUGUUCGUCAAAGGACUCCACAAUUCCAAGAAUGCUUUCCAUGUGCUCGUGCAAUAAUGGUAAGGAUAUCGAGAGACGCCAACGGCACCAAAUAUUCCAGCUUGAUUCAAUACGCCUUCAAAAUUGGCUAAUAUGAAUUCUGUCCACUCCAUUACGCCUAUCUCAAGUGUAGCACAACCCCGGAAACAAAGGCUCGAAGACCAAUCUUGUUUGGUGUUUAGCAUCCUGUGAAGUAUCGGGUAAAAAUUCUCUUCGAAAGUGAAAAGACCUCCAUCAUGUCUGUUAUCAACCUUCUCCAAAGUAUGCCCCUUAAAUACAUGGGAAAAGUUGUGGGUUGUUCUUAUCACUUGAUCCUCCAAAUCUUGGCGAAAUGUAAGAAAGCCUGAGUUCAUUUCAACUUCUGUCACCAAGGUAAUGAUGUCUUUAGGAGGGACAUCAACAUGAAUGGAGCUUAAAGGCUGUGAUCUCACGUACUCUAUGCCCUUUCCAACAACCUGCCUGUGUUUGUCCAAAGCUGCCUCGCGGGAAAUUCGACCAUAUGCAUCCAUUACCUGAGAUUAUAGCACGCAGAGAUGUUAAAAGCAAGCAAUAGCAAGUCAAGCUUUGCGCGAGAAAAGCAAGUUCCACGUACAAAGCUUGAGGGGGCACUGUUGAUACCAAAAAAAAAGGAUUACAGAAAAGGAAAAAAAUAAAUAAAAUAAAUAAAUGGAAGAGUAUUUAUUCAUGUCAUACUCUUCCGUUGGUUUUGAUUACACGCACAAAGCUUUUGAGUUCAAUUACAACUCUUGCAAGCAGGUGCUUGGAUAAGAACAAAUCAGUACGAGCACCAGAGUUUGAUUGUAACUCAAUUAUCCUAACCAAGCACUCUAUAUAAAGAGGCCAAUACCUUCAAAAAAAAAAAAAAAANAANNNNNNNNNNNNNNNNNNNNAACACCAACGGGAGGAGGCAGGCGGGCAACAAGGAGGAUCACAAAGGAGCGGUUCAUUCUUUACAAGGUUCGGAUGGAGAGUUCUCUUUCUCUUUGCGCAGCUCUCUUUAUGUUCUGUUGAUGGAGGCAUCACUGCCUUCAUAUUCCUCGCAGAUGGCCUCUGGUGUUCUUGGUUACUAUUGUUCCUGGUCACCCAAAUCCCUUGCGGAUCGAUCUGGUUAUUAUAGUUACUGUGUUCUGUUGGUUACUUGGUUACUACUGUGUUCUCUUGGUUACUUGGUUACUCAAAUCCCUUGUGGAUCGUUCCUGGUUACUCGUUACUUGGUUACACAAAUCCCUUGCGGAUCGUUCCUGGUUACUUGUUACCCUAAACAUUGGUUACUGGAUACUAUGGUUACUGGAGACUAAUGGCUACUAUGGCAAUGGUUCUAUGUUACAAUGGUUAUAUGACACUAUGGUUACUAUGAUUCUGGUUCUAUGGCUACUGUAGCACUAUGGUUACAAUAUGGUUCUGGUUCUUUGGGUACUUUGACACUGGUUACUAUAACAGAUCGGUUGCCCUUUGAUCCUACAAAACCAAACACAAAACCAAUACUCAAAAUUCCACCACAAAAGGCCAUUGUUGUCCCUGUUCCCUGUUAACCACCACAGCCAAAUACCUUUCCAAAUUCCAUGUUUCAAGCACCAACUCAAAUACUGUGCAAUGAAACUAAAAGAGACAAUAACAGAGGCUUACCCUCAAACUAUGACAAUCGAUCUAUUCCGAUACUACAACUACUACCUGUGUUUCAUACCUUCAUGCUGUAGCAGGAAUGGUGAUGAUAUUGCAAAAAGAGAACAGCAAGUUCCUGUCAAGUUAACCUCACAAAAACAUCCGAGCAAAGAGAGUCAUUGAUUCUUUGGCUCUGUCCCUUUAAAAAAAACAAAGGGGGCUCGGUGAGUUUUCUCAUGAUUCUUCUCCAAUAUCACAAGAUGACAAGAAUCAAGCUUGGCGGUGACCCUCCCAAACAGAGAAGGCUUACUCAAACAUAAAUAUGCAUUCACCACCAUGGAGUAAAACAAAAGAAGCAAACUUAAUUAAACAAGUUUUGUUUCUGGAAGUUCCAAGGCAGCGAGCCGAAUACACCCACAGUCAAAUAAAUUGGAGCUAAGAAGUUUAGAGUCUCAAAGCAAAAGACGUGUUCUUCCUCAAAUUAAAGCCUGCAAAUUGAAGCCUGCAGCAAAAUUAACCUACUCGAAGCUAAGCUCAUCCAUUCGACGCUAAGCUAAUCUACUCGAAGUUAAGGAAGCGAAGGAUAAUUAAUUUUGCCAUUGAAGAAUUGUAACAAAGCACCUAUCCAACACAAGGCAGUAACCAAAUUGAACGCUACCUGUGAAGAAACAAGCUUUUGACCAGUGGGAAAUCCUUCGAAAUUACUCUGAAGCAUAAUGGAGAUACUUUCGUCAUGAGGGUAUUUGAAUUGUAGGGAUGAAAGCAGGAACACAAUAGGGGUUAUCCUUACCCAAUUUCGCACAGUGAGAAAGAGCACAGCAAAUCUCAAGCCUCCCAGUGUUGAUAAAUUUCUUCUCGGCGACUUAGGAGCACUGCCAUCACCAAGUCGGUUGCUGCGCCAACCCCUCUCCAUUUGAUCAGUUUCGGCCUUCAAGUUCUUCUGGGUUACAAUAAACAAGGCAGCAGAAGAUCAAAAGAAAGAAAAGAAAUGAAGAAUGGGGAGAGGGAAAGCUAACGGGCCUCCACAUUGACGGAUGCUACUCACAAGCAAGGCCCAUGUCAAAUUUGGGCCCAUCUGAAAAGUUCAACGAGGCUCAAUAUAUGGGUGUUCAAAUCAAAAUACCCAAACUUCGGUUUCGUUUAAAAAUUCUUCGGAACCCGAAUGAAGUUGCGUUUGGUACAAAACCAAGAAAUACUCAAAUACCCAAAUUUUUGAACUACAAUGGUUUGAUCCCUUCACAGGGUAUGUAGGCAGUCCAGAUUUAAAUCUGGAUAUAACCACAUUUAAAGCCAAAUCGUUGGUUCUUUCCAAGCCAAAUUCUAAAACACAUAACCAAACCUUUCGACAAGUCAUCUACUUCGUCGAAACCCCAAAAGCCAUAAAACUUGAACUACGAGUGACUUGAUCCCUUAUGGGGUACGUAGGCAGCCUGUAAAACAAAUCGGGUGCAGUCGCAAUUCCCCUCGAACACACAUUCCCCAUUUGUUACUUUGUAAUUAGAAUCAAAGGGUCUUCCCCCGAAAGCAAGGGUUGUAAUUAAGAAAUUUAUUUUAUUUCGAAUGGGUCGAACCAGACAUAAUUAAAACUCUAUUUUAAUCAAUGAGAUAGAGUGAAAUUGUGUUGGGUAUAUUUAUUUACAAUUUUUGCUCAACAUAGUUUUUGGCGACUUCACUGGGGACUCUCAACUGGUCAUCAGACAAAUAAAUGACGAGUAUGCAGUCAAAAAUGAGAACCUUAUAUCAUACUACCAAAGAGUUAAAUAUCUCCUGGGACAAUUUCGAGAGAUAUAUGUUGGCCACAUUCCAAGAUCAGAGAAUGAUAAAGCAGACGCAUUGGCUAACUUGGCAGCUUCUUUAGUACUUCCUGAAGAGAAAGACAUCCAAAUAACAGUUGGAGAACGUCGAUUGCAGUCCUACGUCACUUGAACGAAUGGAAGCUACCAAUGAAACAAAUGUAGUUUCUGUGUUCGAAACUGAGGAAGAAUCUGAUUGGCUCAAAUUGAUGCAGUGAACGAGCAAGAGAGGAAAGUAUGAUUCAAAGUCUCCGAGCAAACACCACAAAGCUCACAUCUAGAAACCCAAGGAAUACCUCGACGCUGAAGUAAAACAUCAGAAAUAACUCUACCUCUUAACACCUUCCAUGCUAGGAAAGACAUUCUUGGCAGAAUAUAUUUAGCCCAUAAUCUCUUACCCCAAAUUACUGGAUUAGAAGAAUGCCGCAUAAAAGUAUAGGCUUGUUUUGCGGUUAACUCAUCGGAGGCUGAAGAGGUCCAUAUAAGUUUGUCAUUAACUGAAGGAUCUUCUGACACAGGGACUUGAUUGAUCAUACCACAUAAGGCUGGGUAGUGCAACUGUAGUAAUGGAGGAAGAUUCCAUGAACCAUUGUCUAUAUAUUUUGACACCAAAUCCGAGUUAUCCUGCAUCAACACAUUAGAACCAAAGAACUCAUUUAUUGGCCUACCCAUAAACUUGUCGCGCCAAAAGUAAAUUCCAUUCCCAGAACCAAUGAACCAUUGAGAAUUAUCUUGAACAGUCUUCCAGAAUUGACGAACACCAGGCCAUAUAGAAGAAGGAGCAUAAGAUUUCCGUCUAGAGAAACGAUUGCGAAUAAAAGCACAACCCUCAGAUUGAGCUGUAUAGAUUUCCCAGCAACGUUUCAAUAAGAGAGAUCGAUUAAGCAGAACUAGUUGUUUGAGCCCCAAGCCACCUUCUGCAAUUGGGGAACAACAAGACUUCCAAGCCACAAGAGGGAUCCCUCUUUUAUCAAUUGAGCCAGACCACAGAAAGUUUCGGCACCAUACCUCAAUUUUUCGCACCACAGACACAGGCCAUUCAUAUACUUGAAAAAUGUAUACCAACAUGCUAAAAAUAACAGACUUGAUAAGCUGCAAACGUCCUGCCAUUGACAAAAAAGAACUCACCCAACUCGAUAACUUUAUCCUUAUUUUGUCAACAAUCUGAUGGAAAUAAGAAGCACGAGGUUUGCCAUGAAAAAUAAGGGCACCCAGAUACAUGAAUGGAGCAGACCCCAAGGGAAUACCCAAGAAGUUCGAAAUAGAAUGCCGCCUUGAAUGUAUACUAUUUCCAAUAAAAACCUGAGACUUCCCUUUGUUGAUAACUUGACCUGAAACUCUACCAUACUCAUCGAAGAACCGCAUAAUCCGCGAUAAAUUCCGCCUAUUGCCCCGAAAAAAAACAAUAACAUCAUCUGCAAAUAGGACAUGAGAUGGAGCAAGAGUAUUUCGUGGAGAAGAGAUACGCUGCAGUUGUCCCGAUGAAACAAGUAAAGAGAUCCCACGACUAAGGACUUCUUCUGCUAAGCAAAAGAGCAAGGGAGAAAGAGGGUCACCUUGACGCACACCCCUUUCACAAGAAAAAUACCCCACAGUCCUCCCAUUAAUCAACAGAGAAAGCUUGGCUGACAGAAGCAAGGCACGCACCCAUUGUACAAAGAUCGGAUCAAACCCAAAAGCCUGAAGAACAUGAAGAAGAAAAUCCCAUGACAGAGUAUCAAACGCCUUUGUAAUAUCAACCUUAAUUGCAAGGUUACCCCCCAUGACAUUUUGAGUUCAACAAAUUAAAGCACUCUGAAGUAGUUAAUAUACAGUCUGAUAUGUUCCUCCCUGCAACAAAAGCAUGCUGUUGAGGAGAAAUAAUACGAGAUGCCACUGAUGCCAACCGGAUAGCUAUGAUCUUUGGGAUAAUUUUAAACACAAAGUUGGUGAGGGCAAUAGGCGAAACUGCUUUAUGGAGUCGGCAUGAUCAACUUUGGGGAUUAAGAUGAUAAUACCUGAGUUAAAGGAAGGAGCCAAAUAACCAUGUUGAAAAAAUACUGAACAGCCUUAACAACAUCAGCACCAACAACAUCCCAGCAAGAGACGAAAAAAUGGCCAUUAAAUCCAUCUGGCCCCGGGGCACUAUCAGGAUCCAUUGAUUUGACAGCUGCCCAAAUUUCCUCUGAUAAUGGAACACUAGUAAGCAUCGUAUUUUCCUCAGGAGUUACCAUAGAGUGAAUCACUUUGGACACCAAGCCACUAUCUUCAUACUCUGCAUGUUUAGUAAAAAGAUUUUUGUAAUAAUCAACUAUAUGAUUUUGGAUAUAAUGAGGAUCCUGAAGCACCUGAUCUCCAUCACGAAGCAGAGUAAUAGAAGAACGAUUUCGGCGCACUUUACACAAAGCAUGAAAAUAAGAAGAAUUACGAUCACCUUCUGAUAACCAUCGCAACCUUGACUUCUCACGCCAAAGAAUUUCCUGAUGCAGAAUAGACUCAUUCAAAAUGGCCUGCAAUUCAGUCUCUUUUUCAAACUCUUCAUCUGAUCCCCCAGAAGCUGCAAUUUUAUUUUGAAUAUCAGCAAGGGCUGCAAGGUCAAACUCAACCCGACGGUGAACAUCCCCAAAGACCUCCCAGUUCCAAGUACGGAGAGAUUUCCUUAAGGUACGCAGCUUAUAUUGCAGGACAGAAUAAGGACAACCAAACGAAGUAGUAGAGGACCAACAUCCUUUGACAAAACUCAUAAAAUCCUUAUGCUCCAACCACAUUUUUCUAAACCGAAAGAGACUAAAACGAGACCCUGUAAACUUAGAAAAGGACAUUAGUAGUGGAUUAUGAUCAGAGCAAGUUCUGGGUAAGGUGCAACAGUCAAACUGAUCCCAUUCCUCCAUCCAAUUCAAAUUAGCAAGACUUCUAUCUAAUCUUAGCUCCACAUUACCACGAAAACCACGCCGUCUCACCCAUGUAAACUCUGCCUCUUUAGUAUCUACAUGAAUAAGUUCACAAACAUCUGACAUUGUCUGAAAUUCCUCACAUGAUCGCCGACAUAGAGGAGCACCUCCUUUCUUUUCAUGAGCACCAAGAACUGCGUUAAAAUCUCCAAAAACCAACCAUGGUCCUGUAACAAAACGACCUUUGAAAUCAGUAAUAUCUUCCCAUAACUUCCGGUGGCCAGAGAUUGUGGUACGAGCGUAGACAGCUGUAAGAAAACAGUUUACCGAAUCAAACAUAACUUGUAAAGAAACCUGCUGAUCCGAGGUAGACAACACCCGAAUCCAUGGAGCCAGAGAAGUCUUACAAAAAACCCAUAGAUUAGGUAAUGCAGAACCCCGGUCAUUUGCACCAACAAAUCGCAUGCCUAACGAACGCCAAAAGAAUAGAGGAAUUGAAGUCAAGGCAACGAAAGGCUCAGCUAUACAUAAAACUUCCAGGUUGUGAACCCGUACAAACUGUUUCAAAGCAUCUUGAGUGGGGACAUUAGCAAUGCCCCGUAUGUUCCAAUAAAGAACCCUCAUUUAGGAGUGUCUUUGGAGCGACGGAGAUAGGCUUCCCUAUUCUCCUUCGAAGCAGCCUUCCUCUUUUGAGACCUGGACAUAACAACAGUAAAACCAUCAUCAAUGUCAACUCGUUCUGUCUCCUCAUACCAGCUAUCAAUUCGAGUUACUGAAUUUGCAGCAACAGCAACCCCAAUGUCAGAAGACUGCUCAUGCAUACUACCACCGGCAGAGUCAUCUUCACUAUUCUGCUCGUUCUGAUCAAUUGCAUACCUAGUAUCAUCUUCUUGCUCAACCACAUUACCAUGGAUAGCUACUGGUACCAAAACCACAUUCACCCCCGGCUCAACCACUUCUUGGACAGGUGCCACCACUUCCACUAGCGGUUCCGGCACAACACUAGAUAUCACUAGUUGGCCGACCGGUGCUGGAGACUUCUGCACAAAGGAAGGACCCUCACCAAAAUCUUCCCUGGGGUUUGGAGUUGAAUCAAUAAUCAUGCUCUUACCUCGAUCUGCUGGAUUAGAUGGGUUUUUAGGCACAUACACUUUGGAGACUCGUUGCUGAUCACGGUUCCUGCGAGAUCGUCUACUACGCUUGCGCGAUCGACCUCUGCCUUUCUCAGUCUCAUUAUCCAUUGGAACCGGGUCAGAAGAUCUAUGCACAUACUUGCAAGCUGUGACAAGGUGCCCAACGUUGCCACAAUGAGCACAAAUAUGUGGAAGCUUCUCAUAAUCCACAGUCUGAACAAAAGACGAACCGCACUUACGCUUGACAACCAAUUCAUGCGGUGGAUCAACAGAGAGAUCAAUAUCAACCAAUAUUCUAGCAAAUAGGGUUCUAGGUUCCCAAAACUCAAGCCCUAGAUCCUAAAACCUCACCCACACCUGAGCAUUAGUAUUACGUUGAUUCGCUGGGGAGAAAUUUGGAACCCAUCGCAUGAAACGCAAGAAGCCAGGCUUGAGAGCAAUUGCACCCUUUACCCAGACUGUAGAGAGAUCCUCAUCCGUAGAGAAGCUAAACGUGAAAUAACCUUUUCCCAUGGGAAUAAUCUUCCAAGCCCCUAGACUUCCCCAAAGAAGAGAAAGCUUAUGAGACAGAUCUGAUGCAGAGUAGGGUUUAUCCCUCAAACCCAAUUGCACCCUUCCGAUUAACAUAUGUUUACAAUUAUCCAAACCCGAUUGAUAGCCCUCUUCUGAAAUAGUAACAGUUGUCUUGCCAUCUAAAAUCUCAGGAAUAGGUAGAUCAUCAAUUGGGAUGAAAGCUUGCGCCGCCGCCGCCGCAUAAGAUUUCGUCGGCUUCGCAGCCCCCUCGUCGAGAAAAGACCACGGGCAGAAGGGACGAUGCUGAACAGCCAUGACGUCGUGAAGCAAACGGAACUCGAAUUCAAGGAUUUACUGCAGGGAGGCUCCAGCACGGGGAAACCCUAGCAGAGCCAUCACCAACAUAAUGUAACUCGAUGCAUCACAUCCAUUAACACACUAUAGUCUUACCUUUUAAGUUGAGUCAAUGCAAGAGUUGCACUAUUUAGACCAUUUGGUUCUUCCGAAAAUAUGUAUUAUAUUUUUGAGAAUUUCAACGUCUGUAGUAGAGUCGACGAGGAUUUUAGAUUUGAUUUCGUCGAUGGCGUUGUCGAGCUAUUGCGUCAAUAGGAUGAUGAAGAGCAACCGGAAUCACCUCUCUUCUGACGCAAUUUGUUUUUCAAAGAUCUGGUCCGUUGCACUGGCCGGUCGAAGCCUUUUCAGUUCUCAAAACAGUUCAGAAACUACAGGUCUGAUAAUGAAAUGCAUAAAACAUUUAUAACUAUUGGUAAUUUAUAUCCUAGAGUUGUUCGAGUGUACUAACCACAGGAAAUAACGAUCUAGCUAGACUACCUUAUUUUCGUUAGGGCUGCUCUAAUUAGUCAACAUAUGCAGCUAGGUGAUGAUAAACUUACCCAAUUCGUUGUGAAAAUAAUUGAACCAUCAGUAGCCGUGAUAGUCCUUACGUACCUGCCCUUUCAUGAGCCUUAAUAUUUGGUGGCUUAUUAGCUACGCACUAAUGGUAGUUAAUUGUGCUUAUUUUGUGCAUGUGUGUUCUAAUACAAUUACCUACCUAGUUCUAAUUGUUCUAAUUCGUCGUGGAAUGUUUUCAGAGGAGAAAACUGAAUGGGGUAGCAUAGAGCCCUAUUACAAAAUAAUGUAUCUAUAACCUUCUCUAAUUUACAUAGUAAUUGACGCAAUUUGGCCGAACUGUUUCUGAACACACUGCUUCAGUUCUUUAUAAACCACGUACCAUAUGUAUGUAUUCAAGUGUCAGAUAUACUGAACCUACAUCGCCAAAAUGGAGAGAAUUCAGGUCAGUAUAAUUUCCAAACACACCGUCAAACCAUCAGCUUCCUCUUCACUACUUCGGGAUUGUCUAUGGUACAGCGCUGUAUGCCAUACAUCCUCUAACAGGACUUGUGUGCACGUGCCUUGCAGUGGGGGUGGGUGUUUUGUUUUGAAAUUUUUAGCCUUGAAAGCAGGCUGCAUAUCAUGCAGGGCUGCAGAUAGAAUUUUCCCUGAAUAUCACGCAUAUCAGCGCUGCAUGAUAUGUAUGAUUGUCUAUGGUACAACGCUGCAUAUCAUGCAGCGCUGCAUUAAAGCAGACUGCAUAUCAUGCAACGCUGCAGGAUAUGCAGCCUGCUUUCAAGGCUAAAAAUUUCAAAAUAAAACACCCCCACCUGCAAGGCACGUGCGACACAAGUCCUGUUAGAGGAUGUAUGGCAUACAACGCUGUACCAUAGACAAUCCCACUACCCUACUUCAGCCUUACAAGCUUACCCUGCUCGACCAGCUCACUCCUCCAUCGUAUGUCCCCAUGGUAUUCUUCUACCCCAUUACUGGCCCUGCAGUCUUCAAUCUUCAAACCCUAGCUGACUUAAGACAUGCCCUUUCCGAGACUCUCACUUUGUACUAUCCACUCUCUGGAAGGGUCAAAAACAACCUAUACAUCGAUGAUUUUGAAGCCGGUAUCCCAUACCUUGAGGCCCGAGUGAAAUGUGACAUGACUCAUUUUCUAAGGCUUCCAAAAAUCGAGUGCCUAAAUGAGUUUGUUCCAAUAAAACCAUAUAGUAUGGAAGCAAUAUCUGAUGAGCUUUACCCCUUGCUUGGAGUUCAAGUCAACAUUUUCGAUUCUGGGAUAGCAAUAGGUGUCUCCGUCUGUCACAAGCUCAUCGAUGGCCGAACGUCAUACUGUUUUCUCAAGUCCUGGGGUGCUGUUUUUCGUGGGUGUCGUGAUGAAAUCAUACAUCCUAAUCUCUCUCAAGCAGCAUUGCUUUUCCCACCGAGAGAUGACCUGCCUGAAAAGUAUAUAGCUUUGAUGGAAGGGUGGUCGAUUGCCGUAAAGAAAGUUGCUACAAGGAGAUUUGUAUUUGGUGCGAAAGCCAUAUCUGCAAUUCAAGAUGAAGCGAAGAGCGAGUCCGUGCCCAAGCCAUCACGAGUUCAGGCCGUCUCUGGUUUUCUCUUGAAACAUCUUCUCUCUGCUUCUCGGGCAUCAUCAUCAGGUAAAUCAGUUUAUGUGUCUUCUUAAAAGUGCACCACAUGCAAUUGCGUGAUUGGCAAAGGAGGGCUAGGCGUGAUUAAUUAAGCUAGAGAAGACAAGGUUUUUCCAUUAAUUGUUAGUGAGGCUUGCUCAAAUGCGAGCGUACAAGAGUUUUCAGUAGCUUUAUUUCUGCUGCUUAGGUUAUACCGGAUUUGUUUUGUAAGUUAGAAAAAUACAACUUAUUGGAUAUUGUUAUAAGCAUCUAAUUAAUGAUAUGAAUGAAAAAGAAAAAAGAUCGUACACUUAACAUUUUUCUGCUAUUAUUUCAUACUUAUUUUAUAUUUUUGUAUUACAUAUACUGUACAUAGCUUAAAAAUGAGAAAAUAUAUGAACUUUUGCAGGUACUACUUCAACAAAACUUUCUAUAGCAGCUCAGGUAGUGAACUUAAGAUCACAGAUGAACAUGGAGACAACGUUGGGUAAUGCCAUUGGAAACCUGAUGUGGUGGGCUCCGGCCAUACUAGAGUUAAAUCAUAAAGCACGAGAGAGCAGCGAUCCUAAGCUGUGUGACUUGGUUAUCUUGCUCAAUGAAUCUGUCAAACAAUCUAACAGUGAUUACUUCGACACUUUCAAGGGUAAAGAGGGAUAUGGAAGAAUGUGUGAGCAUCUAGAUAUGGAGGGGACUGUAAGUUCUGUAGAACCAGCACCAGAGAUAUAUUCAUUCUCGAGCUGGACUAGAUUUUUCGACCAAAUUGAUUUUGGAUGCAUGGGGGAGGUCAUCUUGGAUUGGAGUUACCGGAAAACAAUCUGCAUAUUGGAAUUCCACAGUUUUAGUACCAACACAAUGUGAUACUGGAAUUGAAGCGUGGGUGAAUCUAGAUGAAGAGAAAAUGGCUAUGCUAGAACAAGAUCCCCAGUUUCUAGCAUUAGCAUCUCCAAAGACCCUAAUUUCAAGGUAUUGAUUAUGAAAGAUUAUGUGGCUCGUGCAAUGUUUCCAUUUGCAGUGAAUAAGGAUUAAAUUAGUUCCCCGGCCAAUUAAUAAGAAGCAAGGUAUGAUAGACUAUGGCUACGUAUGUUAGUAUGUUAUCCGAAUGUGCUUCGUUAUGCUUUUAACCAAUAUAGCUCUGUUUUGUAACAAUGCUCUAUUGAGCUUCUAACUAUAGAGUUAUUUUUCUUGAUUAGAAAAAGAAACUAUGCAAGUUUUGUUUUGUUAAGCUAUUCUGUUUCUAAAAGAAAGGCUAUUCUGUUUCUAAAACGGGAUGCAUGUAUUACCUAAAAAGAUGAUUCACCUAUAAUUAUUUUUCAAGUAAAUGAUUAUUUGAUAGCAAUCACGCCGUGUAUUUCUAUAGCUAAAAUUGUAAUUUAGAUCAGUGACAACAUGAUUAAAAGUUACAUAUUCUGAUACAUUUGUUAUUUAACGACAAGUGUGGCCAUAAUGCCUCACCUAGUCACCUAAUGCGAAGACCUCUACGAGAGACUAAUGUCGUCUGAUCUUCUUUUCUUAAUCAAAAGAAACGAAAAUGGCCACAAUGCCUCACUAUUCAUAGAACCAUACAAUAAUUUGGAACAUAUGCAUGGAUGCAAAGAAAAAUAACACAAGAACCAUCAUAAUUUCACAUUAUAUGAGAAACUUAGCCAAAUCCGAAUCACAUCCAUGUUGGCCAAGAGUGACUAAAGAAGACCACCCAGAAAGCUAGAAAACCAUAAAAUCCAGAAAACUUGAAUAAGCUAGGGAAAAAACAAAAAUGUGACAUUCCAUUUCUUCUUGCGGUUUUGUUAGGCCAAAUCAAAAUCUCAAUGACCCUGCAAUCAUUUACACACACUCUUUCUCAAUCUCUGCAAAACUGACUGCUUCCCCUGAAAACUUGCGCAAUAGGGUACCUAGCUCUCUGGCCUUUUCUUUCUAAUGCACAAUUUAUGGCUUUUGGUAAUGAUGAUUUUAUGCUUGUGGAUCUCAGAUGGGUUUGUUUUGUUUUGGGAUUUUUAUAAAUGAAUGCAUUGAAAAUGUUGAAAGCUUAUGCCUUUGUUCCUUGGUUCAGUGUUCUGGUUUUGUGUACGUACGAGAGUUGAAAUGUGAUCUCUAGUAUCGGUAAAGAGAAAUGUUCUAACCAUGCUAGUGUUAGUAAUUUAUCUUCUAAAGUUGUUUGAGUACUUUACUCUCUUACUUUACUAACUAAGCAUAGGAAAUAACGACCUAAACUACCUGAUUUUCGUUAGUGCUUGUAAACACGAAAAUUCCUGUAACGAAUAACAGAAAGACAUGUGUACAAAAUAAUAUAUUUGUAUUGAUUGAAUUUGCGGGUUACAAUCUCUAUGGGUAUUCUUUUAACAAGAAUGUCCUCUGAUUCGAUCUCCGAUGUUGAUUUGAUCCAAGGGUGACAAGCACUUGAUCUUGAAUUGAACUGUUGUAGUUUGAACUUCUUAUUGUGUUGACGAUUUGUAGAAGGAAGUUGACCAAGGGCCAUAGAGGCUUGAUCUUGGUCGAAUAUGGGCCGCGAGAGGUGUCACGUGGUGAACGUUCUUCGACUUGAUAGCGGAUGAAUCGGCACGUGUGUUUGGUACUUGUUGAUUCUCCACGAGGUUGUUGAAGAACUUGGUAGAAGUUUUGAUUUGUUGAAAGACUUGAAGACGAGGGUUGAUCAAGGGCCGUAGAGGCUUGACGUUGAUCGAGUUUGGGCCGAGCAGUUCCACAUGGUGGUUGCUCUUCGUCUUGUAGUUGGUGAAGAUGUCAGCUAUUUGGCAACUUGGGACUCUUCGGGAUUUGACAACCUAUAGGCUUGAGGUUGAUGAAGAAUCAACUAUUUGGCAGCUUGAUGAUUCUUCAAGGGUUUUGGGAGAAUUCUAAACUCUCGGGAGUAAUUUUUCUCUCUUGUCUGAAAGUCGUCCUCUUGAUAUGAGAGGGGGUAUUUAUAGUGUUAAUGCUCCUCCGUAAAUGGAAUGCAUUGAAGUCACAGCUUUAAUUAUAUUUCCUUAAUGAUAUAAUUAAAUCAAUCACUUUUGAUUGAUUGAUUCAAUUAUUCAAUUUCCCAUAAUUAAAUCAAUCAGUCUUAAUUGAUCGAUUUAGUUAUGAUCGAUAAGGUAUUUCACUAAUUUGAUUAAAUUCCGACUUCCUUUUCGAUAAUUGAUUUGAUUUGAUUGAUGUUUGAUUAUCGAUUGACAUUUAAUAUUUUAUUUUAGUUGGGAUUGAUGAUUUUGUUGUCGACCGACCAUUCACACGCCGCCACGUGUUAUUUUCGAAGACUUUUCAACUUUGCUGACUCACGAGCCACGUAUGCACGAGACUUUUCAACGUCUCUAAUUUACAUAGUAAUUGACGCAAUUUGGCCGAACUGUUUCUAAACACACUAAGCUUCAGUUCUAUAUAUACCGCGUACCACAUGUUUCAUCAAGUGUCAGAUAAUACAGAAC
rnacentral:lncRNA from 1 species